AACCACGCCCCCUCAGUUCCCUUGGCUUCCUUUCGCUCGCUAGACAGCGAGCCCCGCAACUUGCCUUGGUGAUCCACGGCAUUCAAGAGAAAGGCUACCUGGAAUUUACAACGCAAAAGAGACAGACACAAUGCGGAAAUAGCUGGACAGUUGAUGUCACCGAGUUUGCAUCCCACUCCCAGGCUGAGGAUCUGAGAGUUCGCGGGGAUUGCAAUUAAGUGACAAUAAUUAUUUUUUAUUUUCCUUCCUUUUCCUCAGCGCUUUAAAUUAUCAGCUUUAAACCACACUUCACGGAGGAUUUGAAGCCUUCUUUUUCAUUUGACAUUAGGCUGAGAAGGAAACAAAUCAUACUUGAGGAACAAAGCAACACUUUUGAGCAUCAACAUGGACGUGUUGGCGAAUUACAGUAUUUUUCAGGAACUUCAGCUGGUGCACGACACGGGCUACUUCUCGGCGAUGCCGUCGCUGGAGGAGAACUGGCAGCAGACAUGUCUUGAACUGGAGAGGUACCUACAGACGGAGCCCAAAAGGCUUUCGGAGCUCUUCGAUGAGGAGCUCGACUGCCUCCUUACGCCAGCCUUCAUGAAGGGAGAUAGCGACGAGGACCUGCUGGAUCCCCUGCUGCCCAGUUUAUCUGAUGAGCCCAGCCUGCCACCUCUGCUUGUAUCCCUACCCAAAAACCUUCAUGCCCCUGCCAACACCAAGAAUUCCGAGGCAGGGCUGAAAGAAGCCAGCGGAGGGGUUAAUCCUGCCCAGCUAAACGCAGUCACGUCCCUCACUCCACCUUCCUCUCCGGAACUGGGACGCCAUCUUGUCAAGCCUACGCAGACUCUUACCGCCACAGCCGAUGGCACGCUCACACUGAAAUUGGUGGCCAAGAAAGUCGGUCUUGGAGCAGCAAAGCUGGUGGCGACACAUUCGCUACCUUCACCACCAAACCGCGGCGGCACACAGAGUGACGGAGAGGGAGGACUGGGAACAGUAGGCGGAGGAGACAUUCCGGAGAACAAAAAGAGGGUCCAUCGUUGCCAGUUUAAUGGCUGUAGGAAGGUUUACACAAAAAGCUCCCACCUAAAGGCACACCAGAGGACACAUACAGGUGAGAAGCCUUACAAAUGCUCCUGGGAAGGUUGUGAAUGGCGUUUCGCACGAAGCGACGAACUGACGAGGCACUACCGCAAGCACACUGGUGCCAAACCUUUCAAGUGCAACCAUUGCGACAGGUUGUCCAUGACUGUGGGAUCCCUGUUUAAAUCGUAAGGGCUGUAAUUCAGGGCACACACACACACUGCCGAAGCAAUGUGGUGAACAUGUGCUUGCGUGUGUGUAUUGGUGAUAAAGAGGUGAAGAGACACAGGAACAGCAAAGAAAAAGAGAGAUUUGCAUUAGCAUGGGGAGAAAGAGUGAUAGGCUGUCAGGUGACAGUAUUAGGAAGAUGUCACUCGGGCCUGGCAUGUGGGCAGCAAUUACACAGUGGAGGCUGCGUGCCCACUGAGCCAGCUCCAGGUGGAAGCACAAUUAGACACGGCUCCCUAUCUCGCCGCCGGCAUCAAACCAACCUCGCUGCAGCCUUUAGAAAGUUGUCCAUUGAACAUUUCUCUGCUGCUCCAUCACAAUGAAGCCUCGCUGAUCCCAGUGGAUGAGUUACGGCUGGGAAGGCCUCUGUUCUGCAGACUGCUGCUGACACCUGAACAGCGACAUUUUCCCUCAGGCGCAGCAGAGCACGUGAACUCUCUGGGGGAAGGCAUGGGGAAAUCUGUGUCCCUACACUCAUUACUCAGUGUUUGGCAGCUAUUGCUUGACAAAAGGAGGAGGAGCCAGCUUGGAUAAGCAAAUCUACAUUGGCAAUUCUUUCUCCCUCAUGUCAGAUGUUUUUCCAGGUCUGAUCAUUUGGCAUUGCACAUGAAGCGACAUAUCUAAAGCCGAGGGAGAUGGGAGAGAGAGAGUGAGAGAAAACGAGUGAGAACGAAGAGGAGAACAGGUGUGCACCGCCUAGACGGGAUCAUUUACAACAGACUUUGAGUGCACAUGAGGGAUCUGGCUGCAAACAUCAACCGGAAGAACAUGCGAGGCAGCGUGGGCAAAUGUUGUUGGAUUCUAAAUGACUAAAAGCCUUUUCAUCAGCGAUUAGCCAUGCCUUACCGAGUGCGAGCUUGGAGGUCAGACACUGCCAAACACAACCCUGUUUUUUUUUUUUUUUUUUCUCCAUCAUUCUCUUUGUGUACAGUAAAUCAAUCAAUAGCAUGGAAUGGAAACUAUACACUUCAUGUAUAAAACUGAAACGCACAUGUCAUUCAUCACAUAACAUAAUGGUUCUACUAGAGAAUCAUAUUCAUUGUACAUUCAGGAACUUCCUUUUUCUUUUUCCAAGGACACCUCACAAUAACCAACCUGCAGCUAUGUCGUAUACAGCAAGCAACCAAACACGGAAAACAACAUUGCCAAUGCGUUCUGAGGAGUGACCAAUGGAACAAGCAGCCAAACACAUCGCCCGGCCCCAAAAGUAGGAUCUGCCUGGGAAAAUAAAAAAAAUAUGAAAAACAAACAAAUACGGCAACGCUCAGGAUGUGUGUUGACUUCUCGUACUCUUCGCUCAGGAGCAAACUCUUCUCUGCUCUUCACGCCUCACAGGCGACAUAAACGAUGCGCAGCGACACUUUCUUGCCUUUGUUUUUAUUUAAAAGAGUGUUAAAAAAGAUGGUUUGUUUUCCUUCUGAGAUGAAAUGUCUUAAACUCCUGAAAAGUAAAAACUUGCUUUGUGAAAACAAGCAUAAAUGUGCACAUACGGGAAGCAGGAGGGAAUUGUGAGUCCUUCUCAGUAUGCACAUGGUUCAGUGACUGCUAUCUGGCAUGGAAACGAAACGUUUGAAGAAUAAGAUGAGAACAGAGCACCCCCCUCCCCCCAAAAAAAUAAAAUAAAAUAAUAAUAAGAUGGGGAUUGCUGGUUUGGUAUGAAAGGACAUAAGUCUUCUGUUUUUCAUUUUGCUUUGCUCUGAUUUGAUCCAGGAAAAGCGAACCAGAGCAUGUCGUCAUGGACCUUGUGUGUCACUCUCAACACUGGAAAAUGUUCCUUUGUUGCUUUGUGUUGAUACUGGCACCUGUGUAAGAACGUAGUAGACCGGUGUGCCAAUAGAGGAGACGUUAUGGGGGAGGGACAGCUGGCAGGACGUUUGACUCUUAGAUUGGAGCACCUGCUGGGAUCAGGAUCCAAAAGAACUUGGUGCCAUCAGCCAAGACAAACUUUGCCUGUUUCGUAUCCAUUGUCUGCACUGAUUUUUUUCAAUGUCCUCUGUGCUUUUUUUUUUUUCCAUACAGUCAAAAAAGAAGCUCAAAAACUAUACAAAAAAAGCUUAAAAACAAAAAAACUACUUGGAGGGAAAAAAGCAGAAAACAAAAAAUGCAUUAAAAAAAAAACCUUCACAUACACACGCUGCAAUACAGACAGAAUGGUUUCUUUGCUCUUGGCUUUUUCCUGAGAAAAAAAAAAUGAAAGAAGAAAAAAACAAGAACAAUAAUUACCAAGUUAAUGAAUAGCAUUAAAACAAAACACUGCAUGGCAGCCUCUUUCAGACAGAUACACGCACUCGCACACACACAUGCACAGCUUGCCUCUCAGCAUUAUUUGUUUUGCACCGAAAUCUUCACAGCAGGGUUUUAGCAAUUGUUGUUUUGUAGGAUUGCGUUCCAUCCAGACGUCAGACGUUAAAUCGAGAGCUUGUUCUUACACUCGAGUAAAUUAUGCUAAACCAGGCCAAGGUCUAGCUCUGUGUUAACAAUCAGCUUCUAAAUCGCGGGGAUGAAAUAUAUAUCAUCGUUCCCAAGGAUGUGAAGCCUGCCGUGGCUUCACAAUCAGGGCCUUUCCCUGCCGACCCUCCUCUUCUGCAUUGAUUUAAUGGCUACAAGGGCGGAAGGGAGAUUGAAAGCCAUUUCAAUUCAGCUGUAACAUGUUCUGAGUCAUCGCAGACUCUACUAAACGAUCCCAGAGUAUCCCUCUGGGGACCGCCAGAGCUUAAAGAUCGUUUCCGAAACUCUCAAUGCAGAGUGAAUGGUUGGUGCCUUUCUCUUGAUUUGAGGCCUGCUGAAGGCAGCUCUUCUAUCACACACACACUCACACUUACACAGACUCACACGCCAUCACCUCUGUUUGACCACAACCUAGGCAUUAGACUUCAGUUGCCAUUUUCAGUUGAUGUCUUUUUUUAUUUCCGUGUCAUUUUCUCAAUUGAAAUGCAAAGUCAUGCCAAAACUCUGAAGAAACAGGAGGUAAAUUGGUUGAAUCUCCACUAAUGUACAAUCAGUUGUGGUUCGUGGCACUUUUUUUCUGCAAGAAGUGCGGUGUAUGUGACGACUGUAUGUAUGAGUUUCUGUAAAGCAAGCAGGAUGUAUUGCUACAGUGUCAUAAUAGCAUCCGCUAAUAUCCCACAAUUCCACAAAUUGGGCAAUUAUUGACAGUGCACAGCAUUCUACAUGUGUCACGACAACUUUAAAGCUUUGAAAGGGUUUUACUUACUGAUAGCAGGGAUGAAAAGCUAAAUGUUUUCACAUUGUUCUGCUCUCCUACUUUUUCCUUGACAAAAUGAUGAUUCCACUUACUCCUUGAUGCACCAUAUGGGAUAUAACAGCAGGAAUGCAGGGACCGAAAACAAAUGCUUCAUAUAAUUUUCUUUAACACCGACGAACAAUGAGGCAAAUCUUCAAAUCAACUCUGAAGAUAUACAAAUAUAUAGUUUUUAAAUACAGUGCAAAGCAACGUUAAAUGCAAAAUUACAAACAAAUCUCCCUUUUGCCAACAUGCUCCAGAUGUUACCAAUGAAAAUAGGCCAAUCAGAUUCAUUAGCCGACAACAUCCCAUACAUAUCCCCUCACAUAUCAAGUGCCAUUAGAAACCCCCUAUCUCUCGCUCUUAGAAUGACAGCAGCAGUCCACGCAAUCGCACAGGCGUUCAGUGCAUACUUUGCCCAAAGAUUUACACAUUUGCAAAUAAACUGCUGGAUGCUGAAAGAGAGAAAGAAGACAUUUUUGUUUCAUUUUAUUCUCACAGUAUCUCUUCUGCCCUACACCAGCUUCCUAUGAUUCGUUCUUAAACAACGUCUAGGUGACCACUGAAUUGGUCUCGAGUAUGUGAGCUUUGUAAAAUACGGUUUGAAUGCAAAGUUGAGGAUGAGUUUAACGUGAAGUUCAAACAGCGAAUUAGUCGCAUCGGUUCUAGUGCUUCUAUAGUCAGUGCAGGUCAUGCAUGUCUUUAGAAAUCAACAUCCAGGCAAUCAGUUUUAAAGAGAUCGUUCACGUAAUUCCUAACACGAUUCUUAAGUAGCUGUACAGAAGACCACUUUUUGUACCGCGUGUUAUCCGUACCACUUCAAAACGGAGAUAAUUCUGUGGCGGAGCGUUUUACACGACAGUAAGAAUGUUUGAAAACAUUCUAAGGGAACAAUUUUAAGUGAACUAGAUCUGGGCACUCUUUCAGCGAAGCUCCCUUCCCAAGCCUUUUGCUUUUUAGCUUCAAAAGAGGCUUUUGGCAGCUUAAAUUUUAUACAAAAAGAUGCUUGAAACACCACAAGGGGAAUUUAUGACAAAAGGUCAGAGGUGACAACUUUUUUCCUUUUUUAUUGUCCGUAUUGGAAUAACAUUUCACUGCAUAACGAACACUCUUCAUUGUUACCGCUAGCUUAGUCUGUUUAAAUGACACUGUUGUCGAUUGUCUACAUAACAUUUAGUGGCAUUUCAAGGUGCACUUAUCACAAGAAUAUGGGAACCAUUCAUUUUUCAGCUCCCUAGAUAAUGCUUGUAGGUUCAUGGCACAAUAUAACUUGUCUUUUUUGGUCAACAGUGCAUCAAAAGUCAGCUUUUCUGCAUAUACACUCAAAUAUUCAUCCAUAUGGUUCCCAGUCAUUUGUUUUGAGGUAUACCGCAUCUUGAAGUGUGUCUGUAUCCGUGUUUGUCCAAACUUGAUAUGUCUGUACGUAAGGUUUUCACCAGGUCUUUCCCUUUGGCUUUUUGCGUUCCUCACCUCCCACCCCCAUUUUUCCCACCCUGCACCUGCUGAACCACAGCCACUUCCUGAAAAUGCUAUCGCUUCAGCUUCAUCCUGCAGUUAUGCAUUACCAUCUGUCAGCGAUCUCUUACCUGUGAAUGUCCCUCGACAUCGUUAAACAGGAAGCAACCGGCCAACAACAGACCUCAAUGCUUUCACAGGUGCUCUCUCUCAUCCAAACAUUGAUCUCGCAGACAGCCGCCAGUUGGUAGAGCAGGUACAGAUCUGAAAAAAAGAAAGAAAGCAAAAAUAGAACAGUUAUGUGCCAUCUUGAUUUAUCUGUAUGGAAGUAGGACAAACUUUUUCCAUACGUAGGCUGAAGCAUGUAGUUUCUCGCUAGAGCAGGGACCCUCAUAUACACUGUCCUCUCUUUCCCUCGCCACAUCACUAACACUCCACCCCCUCACUUCCUGUAACCUUCACACUCUUCCUCUCUGUUUUUUGGUUUUCUAUUCUGUUCUUUCCUUGUGUGUUUUUCUUUAUUGGUUCUUUUGCUGUACAAAGUGUUUAAAAUAUUAUUAUUUGUAUGAUAUAAUGUUAGUAUGGUAAUGUUCUUUAUUAAGGCAGAAGAUGAAAUUUAUUUUUGUUACUGGUCUGUUUCAUAAUUCUUUUUUAAAUUGGUAUUGUAAGAUAUCUAUGCAAGAACUGUUCAGUGGAGCAUUUUUAUUUAAGAAUGUAAUAAGUGUAAUAAAUGGUAGAAUCUGAA